GACGAACGCUGGCGGCGUGCUUAACACAUGCAAGUCGAACGGAAAGGCCCUGCUUGCAGGGUACUCGAGUGGCGAACGGGUGAGUAACACGUGGGUGAUCUGCCCUGCACUUCGGGAUAAGCCUGGGAAACUGGGUCUAAUACCGGAUAUGACCUUCCAUGUAGUGUGGGGGGUGGAAAGAUUUAUCGGUGUGGGAUGAGCCCGCGGCCGAUCAGCUUGUUGGUGGGGUAAUGGCCUACCAAGGCGUCGACGGGUAGCCGGCCUGAGAGGGUGGACGGCCACAUUGGGACUGAGAUACGGCCCAGACUCCUACGGGAGGCAGCAGUGGGGAAUAUUGCACAAUGGGCGGAAGCCUUAUGCAGCGACGCCGUGUGGGGGAUGACGGCCUUCGGGUUGUAAACCUCUUUCGACAGGGACGAAGCUUCGGUGACGGUACCUGUAUAAGAAGCACCGGCUAACUACGUG
rnacentral:rRNA from 1 species